CUUCAAGUUUUUACUCAGAGAUGUUUUUUGUUUUGUUUUUUUUUCUGUGAAAGGGUGUUAAAUUUUGUCCAGUGUCUUUUCUACUGAGAUGAUCAUGUGGGGAUUACACUGAUUGAUUUCCUUUUCUGAACCAUCCUUACAUGCCUGGGAUAAAUCCCACUUGGUCAUAGUUUAUAAUUCUAAUGUACUAUUGGAUUUGGUUUGCUGGUAUUUUAUUAAGGAUUUUUCAGAAAAUGAAAUCAA